GAUGAACGCUGGCGGCGUGCCUAAUACAUGCAAGUCGAGCGAACAGACGAGGAGCUUGCUCCUCUGAUGUUAGCGGCGGACGGGUGAGUAACACGUGGAUAACCUACCUAUAAGACUGGGAUAACUUCGGGAAACCGUAGCUAAUACCGGAUAACAUUUUGAACCGCAUGGUUCAACAGUGAAAGACGGUCUUGCUGUCACUUAUAGAUGGAUCCGCGCCGCAUUAGCUAGUUGGUAAGGUAACGGCUUACCAAGGCAACGAUGCAUAGCCGACCUGAGAGGGGGAUCGGCAACACUGGAACUGGGACAGGUCCCAAACCCCACGGGGAGGAAGAGGAGGGGAAUCUCCCGAAUUGGGCGAAAGCCUGACGGGGCAACGCCGCGUGAGUGAAGAAGGUCUCCGGAUCGUAAACCUUUGUUAUUAGGAAAGAACAAAUGGGUAAGUAACUAUGAAAGUCUGGCCGGUACCUAAUAAGAAAGCCACGGCUAAUUACGG
rnacentral:rRNA from 1 species